rnacentral:tRNA from 1 species
GGGAAUGUGGCUUAGUGGUAAAGUGCUUGCCUAGCAUGCAUGAGGCCCUAGGUUUCAUUUCUU